CAUGGCAGGGAAUAACCCAAGAUGGGGAAAUUGGUAACUCCAAUUAACCACAGCCUGUUUUUGGACUUGGGGGAAAUCGGAGAACCUAGAGGAAGCCCCACAAUGACACAGGGAGAACUCCACACUUAUGGAGCUAUGGCGGAGCCUCGAACCCUGGUGUGAGGCAAGAGUGCUGACCACUGCACUCUUACAUAUCCAACUAAAUCCUGUACAGCCCCCAACAUCACUGUAUCGCAUCCACCUUCUCAAUAGAAAACCAGCCAACAGACCCCCCGAGAUUUCAGCCUGGAACCACAGUAAGCAGAACACUCCACAGGAAUUAAGGAGGUCAGCACUGUCACACAGAGCAGAGGGAUUUGAUUAUUUUCCUGCCUGAAAAUGGGGCUCCAUAUCCUCAGGACACUGGAGUUGGUAAACCAACCUAAUCCUCAGGUAUGCAUGUUCUUCAGAACAGAUUCUCAUUGGACUACAAAGAAACUCAAAGGGAAAGAUUACCAACUCUCCCCUAAGUUUAUUAUGCUUUUGUGCAUUUCUGCAUCUUUGGAAAUGCUUCCAGCUGAACACAUUUUCUGAGGGUAAUGACUCAUUAUUGGUAAUCAGCUUCACACCCAUCUGCUCUUCAGCACCUAAUUAAUAGCCUUGUAAACUGAUGUCUGUGCACUGCUAACGUAGGGGGUGACUCCAGGUCAAGCAAAGAGAGCGGCGGAGGUAGAAGACAAAGACAAUGCUGACAGGAGGAAAUCAUGAAGAAUGAAGUGACGUGGCCUGUAAGAACUGUACUGGCAUUGUUGCUGGUGUUACACAAGUAGGUACUGUGGUCCAGCCAAACCUGAGGGGCGAUACAGUUAUUUCAGUUAUCAGUAUAUCAGUACCGGAAAUAGGGUGCAAAAGACAAACUCACAGGUGUCUCCAAGUCAGACGAUGGCAUGGUCAGAUGUAGACUACUGGUAGGAUCCUAUGGAUUCCUCUUUCAGUUUCCUCAAAGUCCUGAUGAGUCCGGGUUGAGGUGUGACGACUACGAUGUGCAUGUCUGGAGAACCUUUAAAGUGCACCCCACAUCUUCAUCCAUAAAUAACAAACGCGACUCACUGAUUCCAGAGUCCAGUCUGGCUACACAGACUGCACUGUACACAGGAAGUGGCAGCUCCUGGCCGGCAGGAGGCAGAGACGGGACCAUGUGGCCGUCCUCGCUGGCGGGGCGACGCCAGGCAGAGUCUCCGGCCUCACAGGACGACGCAGCUGUCGCGGUCAGCACCGACACGGGGAACCCAAUCACUGCCAUCUCUGCAGCUGUGCACUCGGAUUCUGCAGAGGAUUCACAAAACAGCUGACGCCGGAUCGGCAGAGCCGCCUGAUGACAUCUGAGGCAGCGGAUUGGAGGGUGAGGCGGGGCCCCCGGGAUGAGGCGGGGCCCCCGAGAUGAGAUGUUCCUAAAAGAGCCCGCCCUCCCCGUGGAACCCGCCACCCCCUGGGGCACGCUGAUGGCCGUGACAGAGCUUUGGCCGGGGCUUCAAAAGGUCUGGCCUCUCCUACAUCAUUCCAGUGAUUCAUAAGCAGGAACUUCAACGGCAUAAAUACUACCCGCUCCUCCACAUUCUCCGGGCCAAGAGGAAGAUCGCCGUUGUGCCAACCCACGCAGGGACACUGAUGCCACCCUCGUUUUUAUCCUUGUUUCUGAAGCUCAGUCGAGGGUCGAGUCGGUUUCCCUUCGUUUGUUGUGGUACUUGGCUCCGCUGCAUGGGGAAAUGGUGAUUGGCAUCCAGAAUGAGGCCAUGUUACAGGAACACGAAAAGGAAGAGCAUGUGUGAAUAGCCCUGCGCUGCCUUUCAGGCAGGGAGUUGGCAUCAGCAAUGUGGCAGAACUGGAAAAAAUGAGACACUACCAUACUUAUUUUAAUAAGGGGUUUUAUUGUUAAGCAGAGGGACAUGGAAGCAUCGACAUACACACUGAGGUCCUUCUCAUAAUCAGCUACCUUUAUGUCAGUGGAACCCAUAAAAUAUAAGUACUUUACAUUUCUGCUCCCUGCAUGGAUUACCUUGCAUUUAUCUAUGUUAAAUUUCAUCUGCCAGGUAUCAACCCAGUCGCUAAUUAAAUCAAGAUCCCGUCGUAGCCUCUGUGCUGCUAGAUCAGUAUCUGCUACACCAUCCACCUUGGUGUCGUCUGCAAAUUUAACCAGUUUACUGUAUGUAUAGGUGUCAGUAUCAUUAAUGUAAAUUCGGAACAAUUAUGGUCCUAAAAUUGAACCCUCCAGUACCCCACUAUGAACGCAGGGCCACUGUGACAUUGUGCCUCUAAUAACUACUCACUGCUUCCUGUCUGUUAACCAAUUUUCGAUCCAACAGUUUAGGAACUGCAACAGUUCCUAAAAUCCCUGCAGCUUUGAUCUUAAGCAAGAGCCAUUUGUGGGGGACAUCAAAGGCCUUCUUGAAAUCUAAGUAGAUCACAUCAUAGGCCUUUUUGUGAUCAAUUUCUCUUGUAGCUUCCUCAAAGAACUCAAGUAGAUUAGUUAAACAGGAUCUACCUCUCCUAAAUCCAUGUUGGCUAUCUCUCAGAAUGUUAUUUGAAUCCAGGUAAUCUACCAUUUUCACUUGGAUUAUAGCUUCCAUGCAGGUCCUUGCAGUUUCUGACUGGAGUGCCCUGCAGUUAUGCUCAGCUCCUUGCAGUUGCCCAUCAUACCACCUUCCUGAUGUCCUCAGGUCUUUGCAGUGUCCUGGGCUUCCAGGUGUCCACCACUUUUCACCACCUACCAGUCAUCUGACCAGAAGCACAUUAACCUGUUGCAGCCUCUGGCUCUCUGAUUAUGCCCCAGAUCCUCUGCGUGAGAUUAUAUGUUAUUAUAUAAUAUGAUGCGGAGGUGUGGAACAGAGCGGGUGCAAGAAGGAACCAGUUACCUUUGGUCAGAUGACAUUCCUUAAUUGCACCAGUAAAUACCUUUAAUAUUUACUAGUGGUUCACUAGGUUCAUCCCAGAGGAAUAAUGAGAAGAGCAUGUGUGAGAGCGUCAUUAUGGGCAAAGCGCAGCUUACGCAACAGCAGACGGAGACGGAGAAUGCCUUCCAGAUCUCGUCAGGAGAAAGUGUGCACGCUACAGCACAGGGCUGCUUCUACGCCACACGGAGGCACAUGGGGAAGAAAUUUGAGGGGGCAUCUUGUGACCCCACGGCUGCUGGUUUAAGGCAGCUGCGCGAUUCUGCACAUCCAGCUUCCUCUUCAACCUCUUGGAAAUCCCCGAAGAUGCACAAAAAAACAUCGCUUCCGUCUGAUCGGAUCUGGAAUGCGACAAGCCUGAACUGAGCUCUCUAUCGCUCUCUUCCCCAGGAAUUCACUACUACGAGGUCUUUCUCUGCAGCGCACGCGAACACAGACCCCCUGACACAGACAUGCAUGCACACAUCUGCAGUCUCCAUGUCAGUCUACAUACACACAUGAGGUCUCGCUGUCACGUCUUAUCCCUCUUUUUAUGAUUUCGGAAAAAGUGACGGCAUUCCGUGUUUGAAGUCUAUCCUGUCACGUGGAAAGUGUCAGUUUGCCAACCUACCAACAAAGCUUUUGUGUGCCCUUAAAGGGUAAUCCGCAUCAGACAGCACCCACCAAAUAGGUGAAUGUAAAUGGCAUAAGAUUGGUGUUCAGUCACUGAACUUCAUGUGGGACAGCCAAUAGGAUGGAGGGAGCACUCUUCCCAGAGUCUGAAGAAUUCAUUUUCCUACAUAUAAUUUCAUUAAUUGUGGUUUUCCCCUUUGGGAAUUAUGACCUUAAGAACUAAUUUUAGUCAAUUAUGCUUCUCCCCGGGGGCGGCAUGGUGAUGCAGUGGUUAGCACUGUUGCCUCACACCUCUGGGACCCAGGUUCGAGUCUCCGCCUGGGUCACAUGUGUGUGGAGUUUGCAUGUUCUCCCCAUGUCGUCGUGGGGUUUCCUCCGGGUACUCUGGUUUCCCUCCACAGUCCAAAGACAUGCUGAGGCUGAUUGGACUUGCUAAAUUGCCCGUAGGUGUGCAUGCGUGAGUGACUGGUGUGUGAGUGUGCCCUGCGAUGGGCUGGCCCCCCAUCCUGGGUUGUUCCCUGCCUCUUGCCCAUUGCUUCCUCGUGCCCAGACUCCGGACCCCGCCGCGACCCAGUAGGGUAAGCGGUUUGGAAAAUGGACGGAUGGA